AUACGUAGGGAGCAAACGUUGUCCGGAUUUAUUGGGCGUAAAGGGCUCGUAGGCGGUUCAACAAGUCGGUCGUGAAAGCCCGGGGCUCAACCCCGGGACGCCGGUCGAAACUGUUGUGACUAGAGUUCGGUAGAGGUGAGUGGAAUUCUCGGUGUAGCGGUGGAAUGCGCAGAUAUCGAGAGGAACACCAUUAGCGAAGGCGGCUCACUGGGCCGAUACUGACGCUGAGGAGCGAAAGCAUGGGGAGCAAACAGGAUUAGAAACCCUAGUAGUCC
rnacentral:rRNA from 1 species